rnacentral:tRNA from 1 species
GCCUUCGUGGUGUAACGGUAGCACACUCGGCGCGUAUUCGAGAUGUCUGAGGUUCGAGUCCUGGCGAGAGCA